rnacentral:lncRNA from 12 species
CAGCAGUAAUCUUGAGGGAGUCUGAUUCCAUGAGAUCUUUCAUCUUAAAUUUUUGAUACAAGAGGUCCAUGAAUCCUAAUGUAUUCCAGGAUGGACACAUUUCUUGGUUUGGAAAAUAAGAUGUUCUCUAUUUCUGGGAUAUUGGUGGAAAUCUGUAAUUAAGGUAAGAUAAAUAACUACAGAAUUUUUACGAUUUCAUGGUCUUGCA